AUUAAUUAUUAUAGCUAUUCCAUCAGGCUUGAUGUUGGUAUGUUUGUGUUUGAGGGGGGGGCAGAAAAAAAUUUUCAGUAUACAAAUGUGUAAGACAAGAGGAAAAUAGUUGAGUUCUCCAAAGGUACAAGCACAAUGAUGACAUAUUUGGUUAAGGGUUAGAGGCCAGUAAAUUCAUUUCAUACGAGAAGUAAGUUUUGAAUUUCUUGCAAUAACAAAUGGUAGAAAGUAAGUAUAUAAGUACCUUCAAGUAUUUUAAAUGUUAUAUUAUAGAUGGAUAAUAACUUACUCAGGAAAACCAGAGUGUCUUAGAAUUAUACUCUUCACCUGAAGAGGCUGAAGUCCAGGAGGCCAAAGUAACUUGUCACAAAAUGUCCGACGUUUAGGCCAAACUUACCAUGUGGACAGAUGAUGGGGAUUCCAACCCUCAGAAGAGGUGUUCUGCUCACCUGAUUUUACCACACAAUUACUACGUUCCAAUCAAUGGGUGCUGCUCUCCCUUAGUGAUGUUUUAAAGACUCUCACAUAGUUCAAACUGCUGGAGACAUCAGAAAUGAUUAAAUCUAGUUUUCACACCUUAUAAACAAACCAAAACCGAGAUGAAAAAUGACCUAUAAUUUGUAAAGUAUUCUUACAGCCAGAGGCUCAUUACAUUCUUAUAACAGCUAAGUGAAGUAGGAGGUAUGGCUAUUUUCAUUCCCACUUUUACAGAGGAAUCAGAACCAGCGUCGUGACUGGCUGGUGAAAAGUCACAUAACCUUUAAACAGCCAUCAACAGGGCUCUUACAAUACAGGAACAAAAAAACGGAAAAGGAAUACCAGAUGCUGAGACUUGGUAUUUCUAAAAGAGGUUGCAUAAGCCUUAUUCUAUAUGAUUGGGAUUUCCUUAAAUCCAGUUUAUAAGAAGCUUCAUGUAGUACUCUGGAAGCACAGCCAUUAGAGCUUCAUUUCCUAACUAGGAAACACACCACUCUACUUACAGCAUAUAACACAAAAGAAACAUUGACAACAGAGACCUGAAUUCAUAAGAAAAUUAAUUUCUUCUCUUAGUUACAAGAAUGAAGAAAAAUACUAGGAAAAGCAAACAAAUGCUAUUAUUUCUAAUUAAU
rnacentral:lncRNA from 1 species